AUACUAAUCGAUCGAGGACUUAACCAU
rnacentral:rRNA from 1 species